rnacentral:rRNA from 1 species
AUUGAACGCUGGCGGCAGGCCUAACACAUGCAAGUCGAGCGAGCGGCGGACGGGUGAGUAAUGUAUGGGGACUGCCCGAUAGAGGGGGAGAACUACUGGAAACAGUAUCUCAUAUCGCAUACUCUCUGAUUGCCCAUAUGGGAUUAGCUAGUAGGUGGGGUAAUGGCUCACCUAGGCGACGAUCCCUAGCUGGUCUGAGAGGAUGAUCAGCCACACUGGGACGGAGACACGGCCCAGACUCCUACGGAGGCAGCAGUGGGGAAUAUUGCACAAUGGGCGCAAGCCUGAUGCAGCCAUGCCGCGUGUAUGAAGAAGGCCUUAGGGUUGUAAAGUACUUUCAGUCGGGAGGCGUUACCGACAGAAGAAGCACCGGCUAACUCCGUGCCAGCAGCCGCGGUAAUAC